ensembl:lncRNA ERICH2-DT ERICH2 divergent transcript
AGUUGCUGACAAAAGCAGGAGAACAAGGAAAAGAGACAGCUGGGAGUUAAGCAGAAGGACUGAAUUCAGCGUGGGCUGUUGAAUCUAAGAUUUUGGCUGGCUGCUCGUGAAGAAACGCCUGCAGAAAGCUGUAAAUGCCGGCAGUGGCAGUGAGUGUGAUGGACAAGGCUAAAGAGAAGACUCAUGAACUUUCGGCACAAGAAACCAAAUCUUUACUGAGUGUGGUGGAAGAAUGCCCAGGUGAGCACAGGCACAGUGCCAGGUGCUGCAGAGGACCUGAGACAAAGAGUCACUGCGCCCUCAGAGAGUUUAGAAUCCAGCACUGAGGAAAAGAGAGGUCAUGGGGAGCACAGUCCUCCUGACAUCUUAAUCUAUCUGCCAACGCUACAUGCCGUCAAGCCAAGGAAGAAUUUCCUUCUCACUGUUGCUUCUCUGACCAAGGAAGACAUAAGCACAACCAAUCACCAGACUGAUGAAAUUCCUUCCAGUUUCAGAAAAGAUUAUCACCAAUCCCUACAUUAUAAAAUUCAUACUAAUAAAGCACAAACAUUGAAUUCUAA